UGUGAGCAGGCUGCAGGUUUCCUACAAGAAAUCCAGAUCUAGGACUUUCAGGAAUCCAGUCCAUUAACCACGGAGAGACCUGGUCCGGGUAGAUGUUGAACUUGUUGGUGGCAUCCGUAGAGUACUCCUCUGUUUUGUAACGGUUCUUAGAGCUCUCAUUUACAGUAAGCAUCUCACGAGAAGACCGUAGUGCGGAAUAGAACAAAGCCUGUGUCAUCAGAACCAACAUGAGACUCGUUAGUCAAACUGUUACUUUUUGAGAUUCAAAUAUCAAGAGAAAACUUAUUUUUGGAAAAUUACUUGGAUCUCAAGAGGGUGACCGUGGAUACCCAUACGCCUGUCUAUCAUGCAAGAGCCAUCAGUGACUAAUAAAGUUGGAAACAUAUCAAACCCAUCAGCUAAGCACAGGAUUAUCCACCACAAACCUGAGAUUUCUCUAUUUAGACCAACAUGUGUGAAUCAAAUCGUUCAAUUGCUGGAAGAAUCAACAGUGAUGUAUUCUUAGCUACCGGGAAUCAACAAUAUAUUAUCCUUUCUUAACCUAUUUAUGAUACGAAAAUGCAGAUUGAAGAGGCAAGAAAGUACUGACCAGAAUCAACGGGGGCAACACGACCUAUUGCUGAUUCUCCAAAAUCAGGAUCCAGAACCUCUUCGAACUUGUCCUCUUCAAGCGGAUUCUUUCAGUGCGUGUGAACAAGCAUUCAUACCUGCAACUGCAACGUGUGAAGAAGGAAGUUUCGAACAAUUUCUCCUUCCCCUUUCAUCAAAAAAGCCAGAGCCGAAGGUCGAGGAAGCAGAGAGGCUUCUUGCCUCAGAAACAACCUGAGCUGUAACAGAGCUUGGUAUGCCAGUACAAAAUGGCACAGCAUUGGUCGGUUUGCUGAUUCUAUUGGAAUCUGGAUUGUUGAUGUUUUUGUUUCUGAAGCUCGAAAAUGGAGAAGGAUGCGAUUGAAACGCAGUGUCUCUAGAUGGAGAUAAUCUUGUAAGCGCA